rnacentral:rRNA from 1 species
AGCUUGCUCUUAUGAAGUUAGCGGCGGACGGGUGAGUAACACGUGGGUAACCUACCCAUAAGACUGGGAUAACUCCGGGAAACCGGGGCUAAUACCGGAUAAUAUUUUGAACUGCAUAGUUCGAAAUUGAAAGGCGGCUUCGGCUGUCACUUAUGGAUGGACCCGCGUCGCAUUAGCUAGUUGGUGAGGUAACGGCUCACCAAGGCAACGAUGCGUAGCCGACCUGAGAGGGUGAUCGGCCACACUGGGACUGAGACACGGCCCAGACUCCUACGGGAGGCAGCAGUAGGGAAUCUUCCGCAAUGGACGAAAGUCUGACGGAGCAACGCCGCGUGAGUGAUGAAGGCUUUCGGGUCGUAAAACUCUGUUGUUAGGGAAGAACAAGUGCUAGUUGAAUAAGCUGGCACCUUGACGGUACCUAACCAGAAAGCCACGGCUAACUACGUGCCAGCAGCCGCGGUAAUACGUAGGUGGCAAGCGUUAUCCGGAAUUAUUGGGCGUAAAGCGCGCGCAGGUGGUUUCUUAAGUCUGAUGUGAAAGCCCACGGCUCAACCGUGGAGGGUCAUUGGAAACUGGGAGACUUGAGUGCAGAAGAGGAAAGUGGAAUUCCAUGUGUAGCGGUGAAAUGCGUAGAGAUA